AUGGAGCCGCGGUUCAUUCUCAGCCUUUGGGUGUCCCAGCUGCUAGGUUCCGCGCUGGGCGACUCCAUCCACUCCAAGGACCCCGCCGUGUCGGGCUCGGCUGGCGGGGGCCGCUACGUGUAUCUCUACUGGUACCGGCAGUACCCGAACGGGGCCCCGCAGUACCUGCUCUGGCGAGGAGCCAGGACCUACAGCCAGCUCAGCGACACGGCAGAGUUCGCCCAGAGCAGAUUCGCGUCCCAGGCAGAUGACAACGCCACAGCGUUAACCAUCACUGAGCUGGAGCUGGCGGACACCGCGGUGUAUUUCUGCGCCCUGCAGCGCGCACAGUGA